rnacentral:lncRNA from 1 species
UCGUAAGUGUGUUCUUGAAUCUAAACAAUUGAAUAUCUUGCAAUCUAUUACACUCUUGCUUAUGGAGGAUAUUUUUCUGGACGAAAAACUAUGACCAAAGUAUUGUAAAGUGGUUUUUACUGGUCCACAUUAUUUAAAGAUGCUUAUACUUUUAGCCAACAAUAUCUUAGGUGUCAAGUUUUAGGAAACAUUUCAAAGAAAGAUAUGAUACCUU